rnacentral:rRNA from 1 species
CCCGCACAAGCGGUGGAUGAUGUGGAUUAAUUCGAUGCAACGAGAAAAACCUUACCUACCCUUGACAUGCCACUAACGAAGCAGAGAUGCAUUAGGUGCUCGAAAGAGAAAGUGGACACAGGUGCUGCAUGGCUGUCGUCAGCUCGUGUCGUGAGAUGUUGGGUUAAGUCCCGCAACGAGCGCAACCCUUGUCUCUAGUUGCUACGAAAGGGCACUCUAGAGAGACUGCCGGUGACAAACCGGAGGAAG